UUGCAGCCCGACCUGAGUGGAGCUCUUUUGUAAUUUUUCGGUUGGAAAAGCGUUGGCAAAAUUACAAAAAGCGGGAACGGAGGGCGGAUUAGCU
rnacentral:misc_RNA from 1 species